rnacentral:rRNA from 1 species
GAUGAACGCUGGCGGCGUGCCUAAUACAUGCAAGUCGAGCGAACAGACGAGGAGCUUGCUCCUCUGACGUUAGCGGCGGACGGGUGAGUAACACGUGGAUAACCUACCUAUAAGACUGGGAUAACUUCGGGAAACCGGAGCUAAUACCGGAUAAUAUAUUGAACCGCAUGGUUCAAUAGUGAAAGACGGUUUUGCUGUCACUUAUAGAUGGAUCCGCGCCGCAUUAGCUAGUUGGUAAGGUAACGGCUUACCAAGGCAACGAUGCGUAGCCGACCUGAGAGGGUGAUCGGCCACAUGGGAACGGAGACACGGUCCAGACUCCUACGGGAGGCAGCAGUAGGGAAUCUUCCGCAAUGGGCGAAAGCCUGACGGAGCAACGCCGCGUGAGUGAUGAAGGUCUUCGGAUCGUAAAACUCUGUUAUUAGGGAAGAACAAAUGUGUAAGUAACUAUGCACGGCUUGACGGUACCUAAUCAGAAAGCCACGGCUAACUACGUG